rnacentral:rRNA from 1 species
AGUGAACGCUGGCGGUAGGCCUAACACAUGCAAGUCGAACGGCAGCACAGUAAGAGCUUGCUCUUACGGGUGGCGAGUGGCGGACGGGUGAGGAAUACAUCGGAAUCUACUUUUUCGUGGGGGAUAACGUAGGGAAACUUACGCUAAUACCGCAUACGACCUACGGGUGAAAGCAGGGGAUCUUCGGACCUUGCGCGAUUGAAUGAGCCGAUGUCGGAUUAGCUAGUUGGCGGGGUAAAGGCCCACCACGGCGACGAUCCGUAGCUGGUCUGAGAGGAUGAUCAGCCACACUGGAACUGAGACACGGUCCAGACUCCUACGGGAGGCAGCAGUGGGGAAUAUUGGACAAUGGGCGCAAGCCUGAUCCAGCCACACCGCGUGGGUGAAGAAGGCCUUCGGGUUGUAAAGCCCUUUUGUUGGGAAAGAAAAGCAGCAGGUUAAUACCCCGCUGUUCUGACGGUACCCAAAGAAUAAGCACCGGCUAACUUCGUG